GAUUAUUACAUUUUAGAAAUAAAAUAAAAGUGCAACAAUGACAGAUUGGUUCCCCUUCAUUAACGAUGAGGCAGUAUCUAUCAUACAUACAUGAAACAUAAACUUCACUCUUUUCAUCAGCUACAGCUGCAUGCAGGCUUGCAUGUGUGCGUGUGUCUGUUCUAAAACACAACAAGGCAGCACCUACCUCUUUCGACAGGGGCCGAAUCACUCUCGCCCGCUGCGUUGCUGGCAGUGAUGAGAACGCUGCCAUGAGGGACUUCAGUCAGGCUGCAGGUGAGCUCAGUGAGGUUGCACAAUUGGCUCGGGGGCGCCGUCCGGUUGUCGUACACCGUGUAGUAGGUGGCGAACACAGAGUCGUACCAUGAGAGGACGGCUGAGGCAGUACUGCCUCUGAAAGUCACGUUUGCAGGCGAACAUGGAGCUGGGUGGAGGAAAUAUAUAAAAGAGGGCGGGCAGGGAAUUGUUGGUUUGUUAGUGGUUGGUGGCUUCAAGUGAUUGCUAUUUUGGAUGGACGUUGAACAUGCUUGAGUUAUUAUUCAGUUGUAUCAUAUCUGAUCCGGAAAUAUCCUAUUCGUAAAAUAGGUGUAUUCUAGAACCAAUUGAAUACACAGCUUUAAACAUUUCUGCAACAAUCAAACCCAGCCAUUUCAUUUCAUAAAUGCAUUCAUACACUGACUAACCUGGAAAGGCUGUGAUGGAGACGUUUAAUACUAUUUUAUCUUGUACAUUUGAAUACAUUCACACUCAAACUCUCUAUCUAUUUUGUUUAAUCCUCUGAAGGCAAAGGCUUGGUUGGGGAAAGCCAUGUACCUGUAGUUCCAUUUAAAGCCUCAGAUGGCGCACUGGUGCCAGCGGGUCCUCUGCCCUGCACCAUAGCCAGGUAGGAUGAGCCGCAGGGGAGGGGCAUUUCAAAAAAGGUUGAGUUUGUCCAAUAUGAAGAGAGCUCAAACUGUGCUUGGCUGUCCCCUAAUAUGCUGCCAGUCAAGAUCAGCUGGUACUGGACAUCUGGACAUGCAACCUGGGACCACUCAAAAUGCAGUGUCUGGACUGCACUUUCCAUGGGCAACAGCUGCACCUGAAGAUCUUCUGGAGGACAUGGGACUGGGCCAGACAGACAGCAAAUCGACUUUGAACAUAUGUAAAAAAAAAAGACACCACCAGACUAGCAGCGUACGAGCAACCACAGUGGAGUCUCACAACACAGGAGGUGUGGGUGGAGGUGCAGGAGUCCAUGUGACCGUCGUCGCCCAUCACUUCCACCGUGUAGAAAUCGACCCCAUGGGUCUCGGACCAGGAGAAGUUGCCCAUGCUCGUCCCACAGUCCACACGGGCUGUUAGGUUGGCAGGCAUACAGGGAGCUGAAGAGAAAAGUUAAAAGAAAAUGUGAUGGAAAAAAAUAAAAAAAAUA
rnacentral:lncRNA from 1 species